rnacentral:lncRNA from 1 species
CAUUGUUCACUUUCUUGAGUGUGAUAAAGAUCCAGCAAGGAGCCUCCCAGAUGGAGUACAUGGAGACCAUGACUGUGAAAGAUGAGGAUCAAGUGCAGAUUUGGUGGCCUCUGAUUGCCAGUAUCUGGCAGCCACAUUCUCUUCCCACAAGAUGUGCUGGAAAUAUGACCAAGCAGAAGUUCACUUAAGUGAAUCCAACAGUUAAACCUACCAUGGAAGGGUGUGGUGCACAGAGGGCAUGUGGAGAAGAGAAGACCACAGUGGGAACCUCCAAGGAACUAACAUCUAGCUGGGGAUGAGGGGGGAUUUGGCUAUGUAGAGAGUAAAUAAAGUGAUAUGAGAAUUAAAGUAAGGGGCCAGUUAUUUCCAAAUGGGGAAAUGGGGCAGGCUUCAUGGAGAAGGGAACGUUUAAUCUGGGUCACAUGGAAUGAAUAGGACUGGAAAUGGAGUUUAUAAGAGCGAGAAUAUUUUACUUAGAGGAAACUACAUUUAAAGAAAGGAUGGCUGUGUAGGUGUAUUGCUUCUUUGCAGAUACAUACAAUUUAAUAUGCCUGGAGUGCAGAUUCUAUGUGACUGAGGUGAGUAGGGACAAAGGGAGAGAUGAUUCAGAGAGGCAGAUAGAGGAAAAUCAUGCAGGGCUUAAUUUCUAGGAUAAAAGUUGGUGACUUUUUCAUGGGUGUGUGUGUCAGGGAAGAGGGUA